UGAACGCUAGCGGCAGGCUUAACACAUGCAAGUCGAGGGGCAGCAUGUCCAGCAAUGGAUGAUGGCGACCGGCGGAAGGGUGCGUAACGCGUGAGCAACAUGCCNUAUACAGGGAGAUACACCAGGGAAACUUGGUCUAAUAUCCCAUAGCAUUCAUUGAAGGCAUCUUUAAUGAAUUAAAGCUUCGGUGGUAUAGGAUUGGCUCGCGUGACAUUAGCCAGAUGGUGAGGUAACGGCUCACCAUAGCAAUGAUGUCUAGGGGUUUUGAGAGGAAGGCCCCCCACACUGGGACUGAGACACGGCCCAGACUCCUACGGGAGGCAGCAGUGAGGAAUAUUGGACAAUGGAUGGAAAUCUGAUCCAGCCAUGCCGCGUGCAGGAAGACGGCCUUAUGGGUUGUAAACUGCUUUUAUACGGGAGCAAUAAGGGUUACGAGUAAUCCGAUGAGAGUACUGUAUGAAUAAGGAUCGGCUAACUCCGUGCCAGCAGCCGCGGUAAUACGGAGGAUCCGAGCGUUAUCCGGAAUUAUUGGGUUUAAAGGGUGCGUAGGCGGCCAUUUAAGUCAGCGGUGAAAUUUUGCAGCUUAACUGUAACAGUGCCGUUGAUACUGUUUGGCUAGGAUUUGGUUGUAGUGUGCGGAAUGUGUGGUGUAGCGGUGAAAUGCUUAGAUAUCACACAGAACACCGAUUGCGAAGGCAGCACACUAAGUCAUUAUUGACGCUGAGGCACGAAAGUGUGGGGAUCAAACAGGAUUAGAUACCCUGGUAGUCCACACUGUAAACGAUGAUAACUCGCUGUCGGCGAUACACAGUCGGGGCCAAGCGAAAGC
rnacentral:rRNA from 1 species